GUUGUUUUGCAGUCCAAGUUCUUAAUUCCAGCUGAAGGAGAGAAGUGGGUAAUGACUGGUCUUCGUGAUGCUUGGAAGCGACACAAGAGGAAUAUUAAGAAGAAAUAUUUUGAUAAAAAUGCUACUAUUGAACAAAUGCUACAAAAUCGUCCCAAUGAGAUACCUGAAGUUCAUUUCCAUCAAUUGAUUCAGUAUUGGGAUGACGAAGAUGUCAAAGCUAUGUGCCAAUUGAAUUCUGAAAACAGGAAAAAACAAAAGUGGAAGCAUCGAAUGUGACCAAUUAAUUUUGCAAGACGCGCAACCAAAGAGAACAAUGAGGAACCAUCAAAGUCUGAAAUGUUUAUUACAACUCGUACAAAGAAAGAGAAGGAAGUUCAUACAAAUACUCAAGUUGCAAUAUCUGAACUUCAAAAUCAUCAAAGUUCCGGAGAAACAGCAGAUGAAGAAUAUUUAGGGCUGUAUUUGGAAAGGAGCAGCCUGGUCGGGUUAGAUGCUAUAGUAGAUCGGUGACGACAAGCUCUUUGAAAAAAGAUGAAGAAAUCAACAAGCUUAAACAAAAGCAUGCCAAUGAAAUAACUUCUCUCAAGGAAGAAAUGAAGGAAAUGAUGAGAGAAGAAAUGCGAUGUUUUUUUAGUUAAUUUGUGAAAAACAACCCUGGACUGGAUUUUCAUGAUAUACAAGGGUGUGUUGGAUCUAAUAUUCCUUCACCAGUUGAUGCAAGUAGUACACGAGCUAUGAGAGGCCAAAAUCUACCACAUUCUUCUGGCUCAACUCACGCCCCAAUUCUUGAAAAGGCACUUAUAUUUCCCAAUUCCAUAAACUACCUCAAUCUUAACUUACAAAAUCAUGCUUUCUAACCAGUGUAUACUACAUAUAUGUUUCUUCCUAAUUUUUAAUUUUAUUUUGAUUGUGUAGGAAAAUACGGGAUAUGCAAUUGGAUAUGGUGGUCACAAAUCAAUUUGAUUUAUUAAAGUGAAUGGUGAAGACCUUUUGAACAAUUAGGAUGUUUAUUUUUAUUGAUUCUAUAAAUAUGAAUACAUUUGGUUUUGUAGAGGUCUUUGCUAGUGAACUCUUGAACCAACAGUACUUUAUUAAUAUAGA